GGGUUGUGAGGUUAAGCGACUAAGCGUACACGGUGGAUGCCUAGGCAGUCAGAGGCGAUGAAGGGCGUGCUAAUCUGCGAUAAGCGUCGGUAAGCUGAUAUGAAGCGUUAUACCCGACGAUACCCGAAUGGGGAAACCCAGUGUGUUUCGACACACUAUCAUGACAUGAAUACAUAGUGUCAUGAGGCGAACCGGGGGAACUGAAACAUCUCAGUACCCCGAGGAAAAGAAAUCAACCGAGAUUCCCCCAGUAGCGGCGAGCGAACGGGGAGGAGCCCAGAACCUGAAUCAGUUUGUGUGUUAGUGGAAGCGUCUGGAAAGUCGCACAGUAAAGGGUGAUAGUCCCGUACACAAAAAUGCACAAGCUGUGAGUUCGAUGAGUAGGGCGGGACACGUGACAUCCUGUCUGAAUAUGGGGGGGGACCAUCCUCCAAGGCUAAAUACUCCCUGACUGACCGAUAGUGAACCAGUACCGUGAGGGAAAGGCGAAAAGAACCCCGGCGAGGGGGAGUGAAAUAGAACCUGAAACCGUGUACGUACAAGCAGUGGGAGCCUACUUGUUAGGUGACUGCGUACCUUUUGUAUAAUGGGUCAGCGACUUAUAUUCUGUAGCAAGGUUAACCGUAUAGGGGAGCCGCAGGGAAACCGAGUCUUAACUGGGCGUUAAGUUGCAGGGUAUAGACCCGAAACCCGGUGAUCUAGCCAUGGGCAGGUUGAAGGUUGGGUAACACUAACUGGAGGACCGAACCGACUAAUGUUGAAAAAAUUAGCGGAUGACUUGUGGCUGGGGGGUGAAAGGCCAAUCAAACCGGGAGAUAGCUGGUUCUCCCCGAAAGCUAUUUAGGUAGCGCCUCGUGAACUCAUCUUCGGGGGGUAGAGCACUGUUUCGGCUAGGGGGUCAUCCCGACUUACCAACCCGAUGCAAACUACGAAUACCGAAGAAUGUUAUCACGGGAGACACACGGCGGGUGCUAACGUUCGUCGUGAAGAGGGAAACAACCCAGACCGCCAGCUAAGGUCCCAAAGUCAUGGUUAAGUGGGAAACGAUGUGGGAAGGCACAGACAGCCAGGAUGUUGGCUUAGAAGCAGCCAUCAUUUAAAGAAAGCGUAAUAGCUCACUGGUCGAGUCGGCCUGCGCGGAAGAUGUAACGGGGCUAAACCAUGCACCGAAGCUGCGGCAGCGACACUUAGGUGUUGUUGGGUAGGGGAGCGUUCUGUAAGCCUGCGAAGGUGGCCUGUGAGGGCUGCUGGAGGUAUCAGAAGUGCGAAUGCUGACAUAAGUAACGAUAAUGCGGGUGAAAAACCCGCACGCCGGAAGACCAAGGGUUCCUGUCCAACGUUAAUCGGGGCAGGGUGAGUCGACCCCUAAGGCGAGGCUGAAAAGCGUAGUCGAUGGGAAACAGGUUAAUAUUCCUGUACUCGGUGUUACUGCGAAGGGGACGGAGAAAGCUAGGUUAUCCGGGCGACGGUUGUCCCGGUUUAAGCGUGAAGGUGGAUGACUUUGGUAAAUCCGGGUCAUCGUUAACACUGAGGCGUGAUGACGAGUCACUACGGUGAUGAAGUAACCGAUGCUACGCUUCCAGGAAAAGCCUCUAAGCUCCAGGUAACAUCAAAUCGUACCCCAAACCGACACAGGUGGUCAGGUAGAGAAUACUCAGGCGCUUGAGAGAACUCGGGUGAAGGAACUAGGCAAAAUGGUGCCGUAACUUCGGGAGAAGGCACGCUGAUGGUAAGUGAAGUGACUUGCUCAUGGAGCUGAAAUCAGUCGAAGAUACCAGCUGGCUGCAACUGUUUAAUAAAAACACAGCACUGUGCAAACACGAAAGUGGACGUAUACGGUGUGACGCCUGCCCGGUGCCGGAAGGUUAAUUGAUGGGGUCAGCCGCAAGGCGAAGCUCUUGAUCGAAGCCCCGGUAAACGGCGGCCGUAACUAUAACGGUCCUAAGGUAGCGAAAUUCCUUGUCGGGUAAGUUCCGACCUGCACGAAUGGCGUAAUGAUGGCCAGGCUGUCUCCACCCGAGACUCAGUGAAAUUGAACUCGCUGUGAAGAUGCAGUGUACCCGCGGCAAGACGGAAAGACCCCGUGAACCUUUACUAUAGCUUGACACUGAACCUUGAGCCUUGAUGUGUAGGAUAGGUGGGAGGCUUUGAAGUGUGGACGCCAGUCUGCAUGGAGCCAACCUUGAAAUACCACCCUUUAAUGUUUGAUGUUCUAACGUGGACCCGUGAUCCGGGUUGCGGACAGUGUCUGGUGGGUAGUUUGACUGGGGCGGUCUCCUCCCAAAGCGUAACGGAGGAGCACGAAGGUUAGCUAAUCCUGGUCGGACAUCAGGAGGUUAGUGCAAAGGCAUAAGCUAGCUUGACUGCGAGAGUGACAGCUCGAGCAGGUGCGAAAGCAGGUCUUAGUGAUCCGGUGGUUCUGAAUGGAAGGGCCAUCGCUCAACGGAUAAAAGGUACUCCGGGGAUAACAGGCUGAUACCGCCCAAGAGUUCAUAUCGACGGCGGUGUUUGGCACCUCGAUGUCGGCUCAUCACAUCCUGGGGCUGAAGUAGGUCCCAAGGGUAUGGCUGUUCGCCAUUUAAAGUGGUACGCGAGCUGGGUUUAGAACGUCGUGAGACAGUUCGGUCCCUAUCUGCCGUGGGCGUUGGAAGAUUGAGAGGGGUUGCUCCUAGUACGAGAGGACCGGAGUGAACGCACCACUGGUGUACGGGUUGUGAUGCCAAUUGCAUUGCCCGGUAGCUAAGUGCGGAAGAGAUAACCGCUGAAAGCAUCUAAGCGGGAAACUUGCCUCGAGAUGAGUCUUCCCUGGGCACUAGAUGCCCCUGAAGGGCCGUUGAAGACGACGACGUAGAUAGGCUGGGUGUGUAAGCGUAGCGAUACGUUGAGCUAACCAGUACUAAUGACCCGAGAGGCUUAACCUUACAACACCGAAGGUGUUU
rnacentral:rRNA from 1 species